GCAACGUGGGUCCCCACAGACAGUGGAGACAGGGGAGAAGCAGUGACGGAGAGUGAGACACCACCAGAGAGGGGUGCCCUGCUGAUGGACAGAGCUACUUCCUGGACCAACCAGCAGGAGGCGCCACAGUGGCAUAGGGACAUUU